GACGAACGCUGGCGGCGUGUUUAACACAUGCAAGUCGAACGGUGAAGCUCCAGCUUGCUGGAGUGGAUCAGUGGCGAACGGGUGAGUAACACGUGAGCAACCUGCCCCUGACUCUGGAAUAAGCGCUGGAAACGGCGUCUAAUACUGGAUACGAGAAGGGUCCGCAUGGGCACUUUCUGGAAAGUUUUUCGGUUGGGGAUGGGCUCGCGGCCUAUCAGCUUGUUGGUGAGGUAAUGGCUCACCAAGGCGACGACGGGUAGCCGGCCUGAGAGGGCGACCGGCCACACUGGGACUGAGACACGGCCCAGACUCCUACGGGAGGCAGCAGUGGGGAAUAUUGCACAAUGGGCGAAAGCCUGAUGCAGCGACGCCGCGUGAGGGAUGACGGCCUUCGGGUUGUAAACCUCUUUCAGCAGGGAAGAAGCGAAAGUGACGGUACCUGCAGAAGAAGCACCGGCUAACUACGUG
rnacentral:rRNA from 1 species